CAGUCGCCGCGGUAAUACGAAGGGGGCUAGCGUUGUUCGGAUUUACUGGGCGUAAAGCGCACGUAGGCGGAUCCUUAAGUCAGAGGUGAAAUCCCAAGGCUCAACCUUGGAACUGCCUUUGAUACUGGGGAUCUCGAGUUCGGGAGAGGUGAGUGGAACUGCGAGUGUAGAGGUGAAAUUCGUAGAUAUUCGCAAGAACACCAGUGGCGAAGGCGGCUCACUGGCCCGAUACUGACGCUGAGGUGCGAAAGCGUGGGGAGCAAACAGGAUUAGAUACCCCUGUAGUCCCUGUCUCUUAUAC
rnacentral:rRNA from 1 species